rnacentral:rRNA from 1 species
UACGUAGGGUGCAAGCGUUGUCCGGAAUUAUUGGGCGUAAAGAGCUCGUAGGCGGUCUGUCACGUCGGCUGUGAAAUCCCGAGGCUCAACCCCGGGUCUGCAGUCGAUACGGGCAAACUAGAGUAUUGCAGGGGAGACUGGAAUUCCUGGUGUAGCGGUGAAAUGCGCAGAUAUCAGGAGGAACACCGGUGGCGAAGGCGGGUCUCUGGGCAAUAACUGACGCUGAGGAGCGAAAGCGUGGGGAGCGAACAGG